CUUCUUGGUGCCAUUGCUUGCAUCAGGGCCUGAGACUGAGAAAGCAGCGGAGGAGGCGACACGGCGAGCGGGGCCGCGUCUGCACGUGUCAGGGAUGAGAGACGCGGGCGACUCAACACUUCACGGCGUGGUCUGGAGGGCUGCUCACUGAAGGACAAAUCGAUGCCAGCUCUCCAUGACAUCAUAAUCACCAACAAGGCAUUGAGGGAGCUCAGGGUGAACGACAAUGACUUCAGUGAGGAGGGGAAGAAGGAGCUGAGGAGCAAAUGGACUCCCAGAAGAAGCCUGCAGUUGUAUAUUUAAGCCGAUAGGCGACGCUGGCCCUGCAACAGAUGGAGCUGCCCCACGCGCGACUCGCACAGCAGCCUGGCGCAUUUCACCUCAAGAGCUCCGAUCACCGGCACCGACUCUGAGCUUGACUGAGAUGACAAUGAGCGGGGAGCUUUCUCUCUCUGUGAACCCCACACGAAGCCCAAGGGUGGACGCGGCUCCGAGAUUCUGAUGAGCGUGGUGAUUCCGAUGAUGUGUAACUGUAUUUAUGAAUGUUGUGUAGGGAAUCGAUGUUGGGGCUCGUGGGGGAGGGGUGGCAG